CUCCUAAACCACCAGUUCAUAAACCACCAAGAUAUCCUCCUAAACCAUCACCUUGUCCACCCCCAUCAUCAACACCAAAACCACCUCAUCAUCCCAAACCCCCAGCAGUACACCCACCACAUGUUCCAAAACCACAUCCACCUUAUGUUCCAAAACCACCAAUUGUUAAACCUCCAAUAGUACAUCCACCUUACGUACCAAAACCCCCAGUUGUGAAACCACCACCAUAUGUCCCUAAACCACCUGUUGUGAGACCACCCUAUGUUCCUAAACCACCAGUUGUACCUGUAACACCACCUUAUGUUCCUAAGCCACCAAUUGUUUUCCCACCACAUGUUCCUCUACCUCCAGUUGUACCAUCACCACCACCUUAUGUACCAACACCUCCAAUUGUGAAACCACCAAUUGUUUUUCCACCACAUGUUCCUCUACCUCCAGUUGUGCCUGUAACACCACCUUAUGUGCAACCACCACCUAUUGUAACUCCACCAACACCAACACCUCCAAUUGUGACACCACCAACACCACCUAGUGAAACACCUUGUCCUCCACCACCACUUGUACCUUAUCCACCACCACCAGCACAACAAACAUGUUCCAUUGAUGCUUUGAAGUUGGGUGCAUGUGUUGAUGUGCUUGGUGGACUCAUACAUAUUGGUAUAGGUGGAAGUG
rnacentral:lncRNA from 1 species